AACCCAGACAGGAGGCAGCUUUCCUCGCUCGUACUGUAAACUUCCCUCCGUCAGAUGACACAGAGUCUCUGAGAUCAGAGCAGAUCAGAUCAGAUCCGACACUGCGUUUGGAGCUGUGUAUGAUCGGGUUUAUGUAGGCAAAUGAAUCGGAAGUGGAGCUCGGGGAAGUUUCUGGGGAAGAUACUGAUGUUUCACAAGGCUUGAUUUGGAAGUAAACGCUUCUCACAAUCCCCUCAUCCCCAGCUCUGGCCUGGAAAUGGAAGUUCAGCUCUGCAUCUGCAGCAGGGGGUUCGUCCUGCUCUCCCGUUUCCCAUCAGACCGAGCUGAACCACAGUCACAUUUAAAAACCAGCACCAAAAGGAUUGAAGACCUCUGGGCCUCUAGUGUGGGUCAGUACUCCCUCUGCUCUUCUCUCUGAGACUCCCACACUAUAAAUAAGCUCCUCUAGCCUGGAAGUGAGACUGGGAUAUGGUGUGCAGUUAUGGGAUGUGUUUAUAAAGUUUACACAUUUGCAUGUGGUCCCCAGACACAUGUUAUAACAACCCAGCUGUUGUAGACAGUAAUAAUGAGAUUUUUGUGAAUUUUAGAUAUUUAGAUAUGUAAAAUGUGCUAGGUCUCGGGGUCAAGUUGCAGUGUGUGCUGGAAGUCCAUAGAUGGCAGCGUUCGUUCUGCUGUGCCUUUCAAAAAUGGAUGUGCAGACCUACGGCCUGGGGAACUAAAAUGAUGUAAGGCGGUUUGCCUUACAUACAUCUCGGAUCUGUUUAUUUGUGGAGUUAGAUCAAGCUUGACAGUUGGCUAGCGAGCUCAUCCCUUCUCCGAACCAUUCCGGAUCAGGCUAUUUAAUAAUCUGAAUGUUACUGAUACACCUGAAAUGGAAAAGUCAAAACCUCCGGAGUCAAGCACUGAAGAAAACAGAUCCGCAUCUCUUUUUUAUUCAACUGUAUUGAUGGACAAGCGCUCACAAGGUGAGCCGAUAUGGUCCUGCUUCCCCUUCUGUUAGAAGCUGACGUGCCAAUGGAUACAGUUUAACAGUAGCAGCAACAACUACGCUUUUUUGCCCACUCAGCUAACGCAGUCAGACCAAAUGUAAGUAAAAUGCUAGUUCACUGAAGGUCAAAGGACGCAGGCCGUGAAGGAAAUAAAUGAGCGCCCUCACGCCUUUUAUGUAAAAAGCACUAAGACGGAAGUUACAUGUAGUCUUGUGAUCCUGACCCUGACAUGGACGGUCAAAUUAUGCCAACAGAAAAAACGAUGAUCUAUAGGGCACUGUUUACACAACAAAUGGAAAUGGCAUCAUCCCUGAAUUGCUUUUGUAUGGGAAGUGCCUAUUGUGUGCUUCUGUGUGUGGCCUUGCUGUCUGAGGCUUUGUCAUAGUCAUGCUCGGACCUGGUUUUAAUAAUAGCCCACGGUAUCAUGGGAAAGCGUCUUCCCUCCCCUGUCUCUGCUGUUCUGGGUUUUUCUGGGCUGUUCCACAGAGGUCGGCUCUUUAGCCCCGUUUCGCCUGCGGGACCAAAUUAACACUGGCUAGAGUGACCCAUUUACAGCAGGACCUGAAAGGAACCUGUGGAACAGCGCUGUAGCCUACUUACUCUACCCUACUUACCCCGACACACACACACACGCAUGCACUUAUACUGACCCGCAUGCACAUCCAUAUCCCAGCACACACACUCAUAUACGGUAUACCUAAGUGUAUGAAUUAUGUGGGUUUAGUUUGGAGGGUGUUUCUGUCCUUCAUAAUUUGUUUAUAAAAAGCAGUGGCUAAUUUGACUAAUUUAAGUUGCUGCAACGUCAAUAAUCUUUAUACGUUACAGUGUAGCUACAGUCUGACGUCGUAGUUUUGUUGACUAACAUGCGGCAUGAGUUAUUACUUUGUAAAAAUCUUCAUUUGGUGUGUAUAUUUAAACAUAAUGUGUGACACACCUCAACUGUCUAUGCAUAGCAUGCUACUUGUUCUGAAUCCCAUAUGGAAGAAUGGUUUUUAUUACAUGGAUUCAUUAGCAUGCAUAGAGAACAGGAGGCAUAUGGAAACACUGAUCAGUCUGAGCAAAAUAAAGUCCGGUGCAAAACCAUCCUAUGGUUAAAUCUCCUGCUAAUACAUCAUACCGCCGCAUCAUAGUUAUAACACAUAACACCAAAAAAGAAAUACUUAUGCUAGCCUGACUCAAAAAAUGUUUUAUUUGCAAUGCUAGGACAAAAGACCACAGUCACAAUCACUGUGACUGUGACUUUUUUUGUCCAGGGAACAAACAAAGUACUACAAUAAAAAAAAAAAAAAAUCACAUAUAAUCAUUUGUUUACCUUUAUUAACAAGUGAUGUAUUAAUGCACGUAACUAGCUAAUAAUCUGGCCAUAUGUUUGGCAAUCUGGCAACUAUAACAUUGAACUCUGACGCACACUAUAGCUUUUACUACCUAAUUAAUUUGUCCAUCGCUAAAGUAGUUUACCUAAAGUUAUCAAUCCUGCUAGAGAAUAUAUCUACUAAUUUUUAUUGCAUAUUAUAUUACUGUUCCUAGCUUGGCUCCUGGUUUUAAUUGCACAGUAUUAUAUUUGCCUUACACAGUUUAGCACAAAAUACAUCAAGUAAUUAUUUCAGUGAGUGGCAGGCAUCCCUGCAGCAACAACGUAAUUGUAU
ensembl:lncRNA